UGACACCACACGGGAGAGACUCCGCGCCGCGGAGCGCCGACGGGGCAACCCUCCCCAGCAACCUCUCAGGCACCAAGGACCGUGUGGGAUAG
rfam:Thermobifida fusca YX, complete genome.